GACGGGGGGGGGCAAGUGUUCUUCGGAAUGACUGGGCGUAAAGGGCACGUAGGCGGUGAAUCGGGUUGAAAAGUGAAAGUCGCCAAAAAGUGGCGGGAAUGCUCUCGAAAACCAAUUCACUUGAGUGAGACAGAGGAGAGUGGAAUUUCGUGUGUAGGGUGAAAUCCGUAGAUCUACGAAGGAAACGCCAAAGCGAAGGCAGCUCUCUGGGUCCCUACCGACGCUGGGUGCGAAAGCAUAGGGAGCGAACAGGGAUAGAUACCCGAGU
rnacentral:rRNA from 1 species